AUUGAACGCUGGCGGCAGGCCUAACACAUGCAAGUCGAGCGGAUGACGGGAGCUUGCUCCUUGAUUCAGCGGCGGACGGGUGAGUAAUGCCUAGGAAUCUGCCUGGUAGUGGGGGACAACGUUUCGAAAGGAACGCUAAUACCGCAUACGUCCUACGGGAGAAAGCAGGGGACCUUCGGGCCUUGCGCUAUCAGAUGAGCCUAGGUCGGAUUAGCUAGUUGGUGGGGUAAUGGCGCACCAAGGCGACGAUCCGUAACUGGUCUGAGAGGAUGGUCAGUACCCCUGGAACUGGGACACGGUCCAGACUCCUACGGGAGGCAGCAGUGGGGAAUAUUGGACAAUGGGCGAAAGCCUGAUCCAGCCAUGCCGCGUGUGUGAAGAAGGUCUUCGGAUUGUAAAGCACUUUAAGUUGGGAGGAAGGGCAGUAAGCUAAUACCUUGCUGUUUUGACGUUACCGACAGAAUAAGCACCGGCUAACCCUGUGCCAGCCGCCGCAGUAAAAC
rnacentral:rRNA from 1 species